CUGAUUUUUAAGAAGUGUUGAAUCAUCUUAUCUUCCACAGGUUUGAUUUUGAAUUCAGAGACACAGAUAAAUCAGAGUCAGAAAAGUGUCUUCUCAACCUCUUCAUCUGUAAGGGUUGUGAUGUUCACCAGGUCCGUGUCCUCUGUGUAGUUGUAUUUCAUCUCACUGAAGGUCCAUCCAACCAAGGCAAGGAACCCAUUGGUGGUUUGGAGAGUGCAGAUUGACUUCUUCCGAAGGAUGUUAUCUGGAGACACUUGGAGUACCAGAUGCCGUUGUCUUCCAUGAAGUGGAAAAUGCCAGGGACCUGGGGUUGGUCCUUCCCAGAAAUCAGCAUCAGUGGCUGCCACAUCUGGUAGGCAC